UUGGUUUGUUUCAGGUGGUUGGCUGUUUGCUUGUGCUACAACUUCCACCCGGCUUACCUUUUCAGUUUUGCGUUAAGGCUUGUAUCGUCUUAUCGCAUUGUGGGUUUCCUGUGUUGCAUGCCUAAUUGAAGGUAUUAUUUUGCCUUAUCGAAGUCCCUUUCUGUCUUAUGUUACAUUUGUGGCAUGGGAUGAACCUUGAAGCAGUCUCUUUGAUCCACAUUGUUGAUGCACAAGCGUUGAUGUUGUGGCUCAUUGAUAUUGCUUGGUCUCAUGGAUACAGAAUUUGAUUUGGGCAUGUGGUCUCAUGGGAUCAUUGUUUUGCCCUUGUUAAGAGUUCUGAAAUGACGGCCUGUCAUGCAUUGGCUCGUACCAGCAUGAUGGGUUAUGUCGAAGAGGAAUGCUACCUGGUUGAUCCUGCCAGUAGUCAUAUGCUUGUCUCAA
rnacentral:misc_RNA from 1 species